rnacentral:lncRNA from 1 species
CAUCAGGCCAUCUUCGAACUGGUAGGAUAACGUGUGGUCACUGGCCUCAUCUUUCUACUGGUGGUUGGUCGUGUCUCAUCCGUUCUUUCCUCCAGCUCCAAUUCAUUGACUCAGGUGACUCAUUGAUAAAAUUAUUCAGCCGGGAAAUAUUAUUUGAGAACUAACACGCUACUAAGAGCUAUCGAUACAGUGGUAAGGAAUGCAUACUGUCCUUGUGGAGGUUAUGGCACAGUGCAGGAGACAGAUAACGGUCAGGGAACCACACAAACCAUCAUAACUGUGGCAAUUGCUUGGAAGGAGAGAGAUGUAAUGCCACAGGAAUCUACAAUUUCUGUGUUUGAUUUAGUCAAAGAAGUCAGGAAAGACUUCUGGCAGUGGCCAAAAGACGCAGGGGGGAGACAAGAACAUUCUAGACACAGGGAACAGCUUGUGCAAAGGCCCUGAGGCAAGAGGGAGGAUGGCAGUAUGAGUAAAUAAAAGAAGGCCAGGGGUGGCUGAAUUGCAGAGUUAGGGGCUUGUAGAAGAAGCAGCAGCUGGAGAGGUUGAUAGGAGCUGAAAACCACGUGAGACUUGAAGGCUAGGUUAAGGAGUUUGCAAUGCUUUCAAAGAGCAGUAGGAAGCUAACUAGGAUUGUAAACAGGUGUGUCUUGAUCAGAUCUGUAUUUUGCGGGAAAAAAAAUCACUCUCAUUGUGUUUGGAAUAAGAGGCCAGAGACGGGCCAGGUUGAUGUAUUAGUUUUGUAUUUCUGCUGAAACAAGUUACCACAAUGAAGCAGUUUAACACAAUAUUGGAGUUUUUGUAGGUCAGCAGCCGGGGCACAGCUGGGUUCUCCUUUAGGAUCUCCCGGGGUAGAAAUACAGGCAUCAGCUGGGCUGAGGGCCUCCUCUCAAUUUCGGGGGUUGUUGGCAGAAUUCAUUUCCUCCUCCAGCUGUCCACGCAGCCCCUCCCAUCUUCAGGUCUCCUAAGAAUGCUCUUUCAUGAAGUUUUACACAGAAGACAUUCCAAAAGUGUGCACCAGCCCUACCCCAAAUGUAAAAUAGACCCCCUGAGAACAGGAACUUUUCAGUUGUGUUCACAGCUAUAUCCUAGUGCCCGGGACAGAGGUUGACAUGGAGUAGUUGCUAAAUACGUAUUUGUUGAAUGAAUGAAAGGAGUGCCAGCUGGGUGCGAGAUUCUGUAUCAGAUGCUGGAGAUGCAGUGAGGGGGUUCGAAGGAGACAGAGAGGGGUUCAAGCCUAUCAAAGCAGUGAAGGAUCAAGAAGAUUCCACAGAGAAGGAGCCAUGAGAAGUGGGGUGUGGAUGCUCCACACAGAGAGAGCGCUCAUGUUCUAGCCUCGUCUCCACUGUAUUCUUUUCCUAGAAGCAGUCCAUGAUCAAAGUUCAAGUGAAAGUCAUUGAAGAGAUCUGAAGUCCCCAAACGGGGGACAUUAGUUAUACUGCACUACCAACUCAGCCUCAGGCGCAUAUAGGGCAGCUUAGAUUCUGAAGAAAGUGUCUGGGACCACAGAGAAGACCAGCUUCAGACAUUUUGGGAUAGACUAGUUCUUUGCUGGGGCCUAAAGCUCUGCUUUUGGAACAUUUAAAAUGUAGCAAAAACCUUGAGAAUAAAAGAAAACUUACGUUUUA